rnacentral:rRNA from 1 species
UACCAGCUCUCCGAGUGGUGUGGAUGUUUAUUGGGCCUAAAGCAUCCGUAGCUGGCUGGGCAAGUCCCCUGUUAAAUCCACCGAUUUAAUCGUUGGUGUGCGGGGGAUACUGUUCGGCUAGGGGACGGGAGAGGCCGACGGUAUUUUCGGGGUAGGGGUGAAAUCCUAUAAUCCCGGGAAGACCACCAGUGGCGAAGGCUGUCGGCUAGAACGCGCCCGACGGUGAGGGGUGAAAGCUGGGGGAGCGAACCGGAUUAGAUACCCGGGUAGUCCCAGCUGUAAACGAUGCAGGCUAGGUGUUUGGGCGGCCACGUGCCGCUCUAGUGCCGCAGGGAAGUCGUUAAGCCUGCCGCCUGGGGAGUACGGCCGCAAGGCUGAAACUUAAGGAAUUGGCGGGGAGCACCACAAGGGGUGAAGCUUGCGGUUU